UGAAAUCAAUGUCUGACAACAGUGGUUCCCAAACGUUUUCACGUCAAGGACCCCAAAACUGACACAAAUUAGACCGCAGACCCCCAUUUAACCAGAUGUUGUCCCAGGGUCCCGCAUCUGAAAGGACUUUAGCCUUUAGAUGUUUUACUACAGAACGUGUAU